AUUGAACGCUGGCGGCAGGCCUAAAACAUGCAAGUCGAACGAGUGGCGGACGGGUGAGUAAUGUCUGGGAAACUGCCUGAUGGAGGGGGAUAACUAAUGGAAACGGUAGCUAAUACCGCAUACCAUCAGAUGUGCCCAGAUGGGAUUAGCUAGUUGGUGGGGUAACGGCUCACCAAGGCGACGAUCCCUGGCUGGUCUGAGAGGAUGACCGGCCACACUGGAACUGAGACACGGUCCAUACGCGUACGGGAGGCAGCAGUGGGGAAGAUUGCACAAUGUGCGAAAGCCUGAUGCAGCCAUGCCGCGUGUAUGAAGAAGGCCUUCGGGUUGUAAAGUACUUUCAGCGGGGGGGCGUUACCCGCAGAAGAAGCACCGGCUAACUCCGUGCCAGCAGCCGCGGUAAUUC
rnacentral:rRNA from 1 species